AUUGAACGCUGGCGGCAGGCCUAACACAUGCAAGUCGAGCGAGCGGCGGACGGGUGAGUAAUGUCUGGGAAACUGCCUGGUGGAGGGGGAUAACUAAUGGAAACGGUAGCUAAUACCGCAUACCAUCAGAUGUGCCCAGAUGGGAGUAGCUAGUAGGUGGGGGAAUGGCUCACCGAGACGACGAUCCCUAGCUGGUCUGAGAGGAUGACCAGCCACACUGGAACGGAUACACGGUCCAGACUCCUACGGGAGGCAGCAGUGGGGAAUAUUGCACAAUGGGCGCAAGCCGGAUGCAGCCAUGCCGCGUGUAUGAAGAAGGCCUUCGGGUUGUAAAGUACUUUCAGCGGGGAGGCGUUACCCGCAGAAGAAGCACCGGCGAACUCCGUGCCAGCAGCCGCGGUAAUAC
rnacentral:rRNA from 1 species